GAUGAACGCUAGCGGCAGGCUUAACACAUGCAAGUCGAGGGGCAGCAUAAUGGAUAGCAAUAUCUAUGGUGGCGACCGGCGCACGGGUGCGUAACGCGUAUGCAACCUACCUUUAACAGGGGGAUAACACUGAGAAAUUGGUACUAAUACCCCAUAAUAUCAUAGAAGGCAUCUUUUAUGGUUGAAAAUUCCGAUGGUUAGAGAUGGGCAUGCGUUGUAUUAGCUAGUUGUGGGGUAACGGCUCACCAAGGCGACGAUACAUAGGGGGACUGAGAGGUUAACCCCCCACACUGGUACUGAGACACGGACCAGACUCCUACGGGAGGCAGCAGUGAGGAAUAUUGGUCAAUGGACGCAAGUCUGAACCAGCCAUGCCGCGUCGCAGGAUGACGGCUCUAUGAGUUGUAAACUGCUUUUGACUAGGGUAAACUCACCUACGUGUAGGUGACUGAAAGUAUAGUACGAAUAAGGAUACGGCUAACUCCGUGCCAG
rnacentral:rRNA from 1 species